rnacentral:rRNA from 1 species
GACGUGACUUUCAGAGUUUGAUCCUGGCUCAGGACGAACGCUGGCGGCGUGCCUAACACAUGCAAGUCGAACGGAGCACUUCGGUGCUUAGUGGCGAACGGGUGAGUAACGCGUGAGCAACCUACCUUUCAGUGGGGGACAACAGUUGGAAACGACUGCUAAUACCGCAUGAAGUCAUCGAGGGACAUCCCUUGAUGACCAAAGCUUUAUGUGCUGAAAGAUGGGCUCGCGUCUGAUUAGCUAGAUGGCGGGUAACGGCCCACCAUGGCGACGAUCAGUAGCCGGUCUGAGAGGAUGAACGGCCACAUUGGGACUGAGAUACGGCCCAG